UACGUAGGGGGCGAGCGUUGUCCGGAUUUAUUGGGCGUAAAGGGCGUGUAGGCGGCCUGGUAAGUCGGGGGUGAAAACUCAGGGCUCAACCCUGAGACUGCCUUCGAUACUGCUGGGCUUGAGUGCUCUAGAGGGUAGUGGAAUUGCCGGUGUAGCAGUGAAAUGCGUAGAGAUCGGCAGGAACACCAGUGGCGAAGGCGACUGCCUGGGGAGUAACUGACGCUGAGGCGCGAAAGCUGGGGGAGCAAACGGG
rnacentral:rRNA from 1 species